rnacentral:lncRNA from 1 species
AGAUGCCCUCUUAGGGUUUGAAAUGUGGGGGAAAAAAAAAGAGAAUCACUGCUUAUCUUAGUCUGUUCGGGUAGCUGUAACAAAAUACCAUACCUGAGUGACUUACAAGUAAUAGAAAUGUUAUUUCUCACAUUUCUGGAGUCUGGGAAGCCCAAGAUCAAGGUGCUAGCAGAUUUGGUGUCUGGUAUCUACUGACCUGGUUAUCGCUUCUUCCUUUAAGGAGUAUUAGAACACUGCUGGGGAUGGGCUGACAAACAUACCAGGGAUUUUACUUUGUGUCAGCCAAGAGGCUUUCCUUACCUCCUUGUCUUCAGUACUCUUGUGCACAAGCAUGCUUCUCAGAGAAGGUGGAUUCUACCUUGGAAGGAAAUGAGUCGUUUCCUCCCAUCAGGACAACUGCCACAGCAUGGUGUCAACUCACUCUUGCCUUUCGUAAAUUGAGUUUGUCAGUGCUCAGCGACACAGCUGAGUGAAAUGUUGUGUGAUGCGGGCUGUCUCCUGGGAGAGAGAAACUGGCAUAAACCACAUCCUAAUGGGAUCCAGAAACAAAGAAGCGUGAAUGAAGUGUUAAUUGCAUUCAUAAAGACAUUAACAAAGGAAUUAAAAUGGCAGAAGCUUCAGUCCCCCACUCAAGAUUCACAGAAAAAUAUGUUAUCCAAAGAAUGUUUCAACAAUAAUCAUCAAAGUUUAUUGCUUGCCCAUUGGGGAAAUAACUCUUGAUACAUAUUAACUUUUCAAAGAACAUUUUGGGUCCAUUAUUUUGAGUAUAUUAACUAACAGACAGUUUAUUCCACCCUACCUCCAGUUCUUUGCUUGCUUUUGUAUGAUUUAAGUUUCAAAAAAAUCCAGAGGCAUUUUCAGUGCUGCUUCAUUAACCAUAAGGAUGUCUGUUAACAGUUUGAACCUAAUCAAUCCUACAGUUCUUAUUAGAGCAAAAUGCUCAUUAUCUGGGAGAAUUUUUGCUUUUUGAAAUAAAAUUACAAGACUGGGGGUUUAUUUUACAGUCCCUCUUGAAUAUUCCUGAGAUGAUCUGCAAUGUGGGCAACCCGGGGCUCCCUCCCCAGCCCUGUGGCAGGGCCCCCCAGCUGCUGACAGCGGGGCUAAGCUGGCAAAAGGUCAGGAGGCUGCAUUUCACUGAAGAUGGAUCGCACAGAUGAAUAUUGCGCUUGCUUAAUGAAGUCAAGGCCACGGAUUUGGGGCCUUUUAUGGUUCUUCUUGUUUCACUCAAUUUCACCUUCAUAGACCACGCCACUAAUCCCAGCCAAUCAUUUUGUAGAUAUGUGCAACUGGUGACUAAGGGACUAGAUAAAAGUAAAUGAAUCUAAAAAACAGUGACCAGAAAUUCAGAAAUCUCUGUGCCUAUAACAAACUCAGAAUUAAAAAAAAAAAGCAUGCA